rnacentral:rRNA from 1 species
AUUGAACGCUGGCGGCAUGCCUUACACAUGCAAGUCGAACGGCAGCACGGGAGCAAUCCUGGUGGCGAGUGGCGAACGGGUGAGUAAUGUAUCGGAACGUACCUUUCAGUGGGGGAUAACGUAGCGAAAGUUACGCUAAUACCGCAUAUUCUGUGAGCAGGAAAGCAGGGGAUCGCAAGACCUUGCGCUGAUUGAGCGGCCGAUAUCAGAUUAGCUAGUUGGUGAGGUAAAGGCUCACCAAGGCGACGAUCUGUAGCGGGUCUGAGAGGAUGAUCCGCCACACUGGAACUGAGACACGGUCCAGACUCCUACGGAGGCAGCAGUGGGGAAUUUUGGACAAUGGGCGCAAGCCUGAUCCAGCCAUGCCGCGUGAGUGAAGAAAGGCCUUCGGGUUGUAAAGACUCUUUCGGUCCGGGACGGAAAUCGCAUGGGUUAAGUUAACCCUAGUGUCGGAUGACGGUACCGGCCGAUAAGAAGCACGGCUAACUACG